UACGUAGGUGGCGAGCGUUAUCCGGAAUUACUGGGUGUAAAGGGUGUGUAGGCGGGAUUGCAAGUCAGGCGUGAAAUGGGACGGCUCAACCAUCCAGCUGCGCUUGAAACUGUAAUUCUUGAGAGUGGGAGAGGUAAACGGAAUUCCUGGUGUAGUAGUGAGAUGCGUAGAUAUCAGGAGGAACACCGGUGGCGAAGGCGGUUUACUGGACCACAACUGACGCUGAGACACGAAAGCGUGGGGAGCAAAC
rnacentral:rRNA from 1 species